GUAUACAUGGAGGUACUUUAGUGGAGGAAAGGUGAGGCCGUGGACUUUCUAGAUAACAAGGCAGACCGGACAGGUAAUCGUGAAGGUAUGUAUUAAUGAGGAAACCAGGUGCGUGAGGGGAUAGGUGAGGUAGAUAGUAGGGACGGGGGAACAGUGGAGGAGGACAGGUGGAGAGGAGUAUUCGAGGCAGGAAGGACAGGUACUCGUGAAGGCAUGUAUAGAUGAGGGAACAGGUGCAUAAUACGUAGGUGUACUAGAUGGCCAGGUAAAGAGAACAGGGGUGGAGGAUGACAGGUUAGAGGGGCGUAGCAAGGCAGAGAGAAAGGUUACUCGUGAAUGAUGAAAGAGGUGGAUAAAUAAAUGUAUAAGGAAGAAGGACGAAUAGGUAUACUAGAUGAGGAGGUAAAGAGAACAGGGGUGGAGGAUGACAGGUUAGAGGGGCGUAGCAAGGCAGAGAGAAAGGUUACUCGUGAAUGAUGAAAGAGGUGGAUAAAUAAAUGUAUAAGGAAGAAGGACGAAUAGGCGAACUAGACGGGCAGGUAAAGGGAACAGAGGUGGAGGAUGACAGGUUAAGUAGAGGGGCGUAGCAAGAUAGAAAGAAACAGUAGGUUACUCGUGAAUGAUGAAGCAUACAGGUAUAGAUACAGGUAUAGAGGUGACUACUAAGAGCCAGGUGUAUACAGGUAGUCAAAGGUAUGCUGCAGGGAAUACAGGUAAACUAGGGACAAGGUAUAAUAGAGGAAAGGUGUGGAGGCAGAGGUAAUUGCAAGGAGGAUGAGGAGGCAGAAGGAAUAAAGAUGAGGGGAAGGAGAUCCGGCAGCGAGGAGGACAGGGAACACUCCGAUAAGCCCAGGAUCAACAUAUACUGAACUUAUGUUGAUCCUGGACUGGACUCUGCGUUAUCCCGGACUAUGCCUAAGCGAGGAGAGACGUACACAAGCUAUACAUUCACGGCCAGCCAAGACAUUCCCUCCUAGCCUCGAGCAUAAACUAAGACGAGAAGACUAAAAUAUAUAAAACAUUCACAAGCUUUACGUUCACGGCCAGCCAAGACAUUCCCUCCUAACCUCGAGCAUAAACCAACACGAGAAGACUAAAACAUACCCCAUUAACGGUCCACAACGCCCAUGAUUUCUGGUCUUUCUAUUCUGUCGUUCAUAAGGAGACAGAGACAGACAAAUUGGGGGCAACUGUACUCAGGUAAACAGGUGCACUUAAAGGAAAGUGUACAGGUAGAGAAGUGAAUAUUAGGAGCCAGGUAAGAGUACACAGACAUUCAGGUGUACUCCAAACAGGUAACCAAGAAACAAGACAGGUGUGCUUGAGGGAAGGUAGACAGGGAAAGGUAAUUAAAAGGAGCCAGGUAAGAGUACAGACAUUCACGUGUACUGCAAACAGGUAACCAAAAAACGAGACAGGUGUGCUAGGAAAACGGGUGUGCUUGAGGGAAGGUAGACAGGUAAAGGCGAUUCAAAGGAGCCAGGUAGACAAAGGUAUGCUGCAGGUAAGACAGGCAAAUGAGGAACAUGCCCGAUCAGUGUACUAUGAAAACAGGUGUGCUAGAAGGAAGGCAAACUGGUAAAGGUGAUUGUAAGAUGCCAUAUGUGUGAAGGUAGUCAAAGGCGUGCUGCAAAUAAGACAGUAAACUAAGAACAGACAGGUGUAUUGAAGGUAAGGUGGGACCACUAAGAGCCAGGUGAUCACAGGUAGUCAAAGGUUUGCUGCAGAGAAUACAGGUAAACUAGGAACAAGGUAUAAUAGAGGAAAGGUGC